rnacentral:rRNA from 1 species
AUGGGAUUCUAUAGCCUACAUGAAUCCCUUCAUCAGAAAGUUACCAAACUACUCUCCCGCUUUUUUUGGGCGGGAGAGAACAAUAAGCAGAAGUACCAUAUGGUCAAAUGGUCUGAUAUCUGCAAACCGAAGGACCAGGGAGGCUUGGGGGUCAUCUCCUCCAAGCGUAUGAACAUUGCCCUCCUGUCCAAAUGACUUUGGCGGAUCCAAACUGAGGAGGGCGGCCUGUGGCUUCAGAUUAUU